GUUCAUAUUUCUAUUUAUAUAGUUUAAAAAAAACAUUACACUUUCAUAGUAAAAUUAACACACUUUAUAA
rnacentral:tRNA from 1 species